AUGACCUUUUACGCUAAUAUGGCGAGCUAGUGUGCAAACGGCUGCUUUGUAUGCAUCCAGAAGUUAAGCAACAGCAUUAGCAUUCACUUGGAGUCAUGUUUCUGGUCACCUGAUAAAUGUUUGGGACAAUUGCAGCUGUGUUUGCAGCAACAGAGGCUACAUGGAAGCAGCAGGAAUAAGGAGUUGGACUUCAGUUUGUAAUUACCCUGUCCUGGUGAUUGGCACAUCUGGGUGAUGGCAUUGAACAUUUCCAUUCAGAUCCCCUGCAACGCUGGAGCAACUGUCCUCAUCUUAUAUACAACUGUCUCUCCAUUGCUGCUGCCGUUGACUUGGAACCUUCAGGAAGACCGUACAGAGCCUUGGUACAGAAGGACACAAUGAGGUGGCAGCUCCGCUUGGUUGGCCAGGCAUAGCCGGAACAGGAAGAGAGAUUACCUCCCGGAGGGUCUCUGUCGGUGUGUGUACGUGUGUGUGUGAAUGUGUGCGCGUGUGUCUGUGUGACAUCCUUUUCCAAUUAGGAACACAUUCACCCCUUUGCCAGCAGGGUCAUUGGUGCAUUAUCUUCCUUUUGGAAAACACAUCACUAUCUCUGCAUAGUUUCUCUGAGUUGCAAGUUGUAUUUCAAAUACUUAUUAGCAUACAAUCACACCUACCCUGUUUUGUUCGAUUCAGUCGAACUCAAGUUCGUUUGCCCCCUAAGUGCGGUUCGUUUGGGCAGGUGUGAACAUAGUAAUCACACUCAGGUGCGCACCAAAACAAUCAGACCGUGACCGUCUUGAAGAGGUGGUCUCAGUCUGGUUACAAACAAACUCUGGUGUGGUUCAUUUGUGGUGAGAACGUGUUCCGACUUCAAUCUGAACCAACUGCAGUCACAUGACCCAUUGUUUGGGUUAAACAUGAGCAUGUUACAGUCCUGGAGGAUUAUUAAUGUGCACCUCCUCCUGUACUGCCUUAAUAUGCACAUUCAGCACAUCCAGUGCAUCAAAACAUUGUUUUCUAG